rnacentral:lncRNA from 12 species
UUUCCCUUGACCCUGGAAACACAGUGACCACACAGGCACUGCUGGAUCCCAGCACUGAUGUUCCCUGACCCCAGGAGGGGUCACACCUGUUCACCCUCUGGGUGACUUGGGGGUUGCUGGUGCUGGGAUGUCUCCAUCUCAUCCCUCCUGGGUUCCGACAGGCUGCAUCCCCUGACGUACUCCCGGCUCACCAUGGAGAUAAUGAGGGAUGCAAAGCCAUGGAAGCUGCCCCCCGCCCUGGACCAGUACAAGAGCACGUAUCGGAAGGAUUUCGGCUGGCACGAAGAUUACCACUCCCCCAUCCAGGCGCACGUACCGAAACCUUCGUACCCUCCUGUGGCACAAGUGCCCAGGUGCUACCUGCCAGGGUGCUGGCCCUCUGGCCUGCCACCGAGACGGGCGGGGAAGCUGGAGAUCCUGGCUGAGCCGAUGCACGACCUGUCCUGCUGCCCGCCCCUCCCAGCUCCUGCUCUGACAUCUGAAGCUGAGGGGGUGUUGGCACUGAGGGAACUGCCAACUUCAGACUUGCUCACCUACCAGCAAUAUGCCCAGGAUUUGUACCACGAAAGGCAGUACAACGCUGAACAAAACAAGGACCACAACCUGAGAUCAUCUGUUUUAGUGCCAGACUCCUCCGACCUUGAGUGGAAAAGUGUCUACAAGCAAGAUUACCAGCGCCAGAAAAGAAUCCCUAGUGGGCUCUACACAGAGGAGAUAAGACCUUCUCCUGUUUUCCCAGAGGAAAACCGCUUCAAUGAGAGCCGCUGGGUGACUGAGUAUGCAGACAGCUACAGCAUGUUCCUGAAGAGGCUGGACUGGUCCUCUCCCAUCUCUGGCCAGUGGCUGCCCUUUGGGAAGGAUGCACGAUGGACACCGCGCUGGAGAGAGUCCGCUCGCUGAGUGCUGCUGAAUGGCCGUGGAUAUGUCACCUAUGUUGUCCUUUGAUUACAGCUCUUUGGCUCUCCAAGCUGCCUGUGUGAUAUUGAUCAUCUGAGACAAUAAAAAAAGCCUUGCAAGCCUCAUCUCUACCAAACUCAGCACCGUGUCUGUCAGGUGUGAAAUGUUUGGCAAAGACCUCUUUAAGUGCAAACUAUGAUUAAAAUCUCCCAG